UGGACCAAUGAUGGCAAAGUGUUUAUGAACAAAGGAUCAUGAUGAAUCCAGUUCUGUGCAAAAUACUGAGGUCCAUU
ensembl:snoRNA small nucleolar RNA, C/D box 112